UGACUGAGUUUGUGGCUAAAGUUCUUGCAAUCUGGGUUUGGGACCCCAGAUGUAAACUCCCAAUGAGAUGGUGACUUGCCUAUAGUUCCACUCAUGGAAGGUGGAGAUGUGGGAUCCCUAAAAGCAAGGUGGUUAGGGAGACUGCUGUAUUGAUGCGUUCUGGGCUUGAUCUAGAGACCUUGCCUCAGUGAGAGUGAUUGAGGAUGAGACUAGACAUUACUUUGGGCUUCCACGUGAACAUUCACUUGCAUUUUGUGUGUCUUGAGACAGAAACUGAAGGGCUGAAAAAGGACAUCAGGUGAGUUGCUUGGGUGUGUGCAGUUGUCCAUCUGUGUCUAAGGGGAUAGGAUGGGUUCUAGAACCCUCACCACAGAUGCCAGGAUUCGUAGAUGCAAGGUUUUUGGUUCUUUCUUUCUUUCUUUCUUUCUUUCUUUCUUUCUUUCUUUCUUUCUUUCUUUCUUUCUUUCUUUCUUUCUUUCUUUCUUUCUUUCUUUCUUUUUUCCAUAAGGGUAUGGUGCUUGUUCACAGCGGUGAGCAUCCUUGUAUACACCAGCCACCUCUAGGUGCCUCACAGUUCCAAGAUGAUAUAUGUGCCAUGUCAGUGCAUAUAAGGAAUAGGGACAAUGACAAAGGGCAAAGACUGCAUAUGCACAGAGCUCCGUCUUGUGAAUGUACAUGGGACCCAUGUGUGCAGAGGUCCACAUGAGUCUGGGUUGUGGGCAUGGAGGGACCAGGAGCCCCAGGGAUGCUGAAUCAUCUGUAACUAUCAGAUGCUGUGCUUUGUCUUUCUGGACUCUGAGGGAUCCCCCUGAAUCAUCUUGGUUCUGGAGUGUUGGGCAGUUAGAGCAGGGUGGUACUGGGGGCAACACGUGCUUAGAUCCACACUUGGUACCAGGAAGAGGCAGAGAUGGUGCUGUUCCAGAAGAGUGCCCUCGGGGGCUCUGCUUAAGGAAACUCCAGCCCCGGCAACCAGGAGAACCUCAGCUCACCUUCAUCUGGAGGCUGAGAGCUGGGAAGUUAAUAUCAGCUUCCCUCCAGGGGGCUGGUGACAUUUUAGUUUCUGCUCUGGUGGCUUGUGAAAGAGUAACGAAGGCCCUUCUAGGGUCUGCCCCCUGGAGCUUUGGACUUAAAAACCUCUGGUUAUAUAGUAACGGGAGCGCUAGGAAGGGAGUGGCAUCCUCCCAAGAAGGUUCUGCAGCCGAGUCUGCUUCACAUUUGGGCUCAUGCUCAGCUCUCAUUCUCUCUGUAUUUACAGGCAUUGCAUGCUGGGUACUGAUUGCAGAGGAAGGCAGUGGCAAAGGGCUUAAGGAAGUGCACGCUGAACAGAGGUGCUCUCGAGCAGGGCGGGUGCUACCAGGUUGAUUGACACCUUACUACCACACACACACACACACACACACACACA